rnacentral:misc_RNA from 1 species
GAUGAAGAACGUAGCGAAAUGCGAUAAGUAAUGCGAAUUGCAGAAUCCAGCGAGUCAUCGAAUCUUUGAACGCACAUUGCGCCCCCUGGCAUUCCGGGGGGCAUGCCUGUCCGAGCGUCAUUGCUGCCCUUCAAGCCCGGCUUGUGUGUUGGGUCGUCGUCCCCCCCGGGGGACGGGCCCGAAAGGCAGCGGCGGCACCGCGUCCGGUCCUCGAGCGUAUGGGGCUUUGUCACCCGCUCGAUUAGGGCCGGCCGGGCGCCAGCCGGCGUCUCCAACCUUUUAUUUUACCAGGUUGACCUCGGAUCAGGUAGGGAUACCCGCUGAACUUAAGCAUAUCAAUAAGCGGAGGA